rnacentral:pre_miRNA from 12 species
GGUGUGCGCAGAUGGGUUAUCCGUGUUGCCUUCACUUUAUUUGUCCCCAAUCCUCCAUGGUUCACCUAGCUUUUAGUACC